ACCCCUUGUGAAGCCCAAGAUCGUCAAAA
rnacentral:piRNA from 1 species